rnacentral:rRNA from 1 species
CCUACGGGCGGCAGCAGUGAGGAAUAUUGGUCAAUGGACGAGAGUCUGAACCAGCCAAGUAGCGUGAAGGAUGACUGCCCUAUGGGUUGUAAACUUCUUUUAUAUGGGAAUAAAAUGUUCCACGUGUGGGAUUUUGUAUGUACCAUAUGAAUAAGGAUCGGCUAACUCCGUGCCAGCAGCCGCGGUAAUACGGAGGAUCCGAGCGUUCUCCGGAUUUAUUGGGUUUAAAGGGAGCGUAGGUGGAUUGUUAAGUCAGUUGUGAAAGUUUGCGGCUCAACCGUAAAAUUGCAGUUGAAACUGGCAGUCUUGAGUACAGUAGAGGUGGGCGGAAUUCGUGGUGUAGCGGUGAAAUGCUUAGAUAUCACGAAGAACUCCGAUUGCGAAGGCAGUUCACUGGACUGCAACUGACACUGAGGCUCGAAAGUGUGGGUAUCAAACAGGAUUAGAUACCCGGGUAGUC